AACGAACGCUGGCGGCAUGCCUAACACAUGCAAGUCGAACGAGACCUUCGGGUCUAGUGGCGCACGGGUGCGUAACGCGUGGGAACCUGCCCUUAGGUUCGGAAUAACUCCCCGAAAGGGGUGCUAAUACCGGAUAAUGUCUUCGGACCAAAGAUUUAUCGCCUUUGGGUGGGCCCGCGUUGGAUUCGCUAGUUGGUAGGGUAAAAGCCUACCAAGGCGACGAUCCAUAGCUGGUCUGAGAGGAUGAUCAGCCACACUGGGACUGCGACACGGCCCAGACUCCUACGGGAGGCAGCGGUGGGGAAUAUUAGACAAUGGGCGAAAGCCUGAUCCAGCAAUGCCGCGUGAGUGAUGAAGGCCUUAGGGUUGUAAAGCUCUUUUACCCGGGAUGAUAAUGACAGUACCGGGAGAAUAAGCUCCGGCUAACUCCGUG
rnacentral:rRNA from 1 species